rnacentral:rRNA from 1 species
AUUGAACGCUGGCGGCAUGCCUUACACAUGCAAGUCGAACGGCAGCACGGGUGCUUGCACCUGGUGGCGAGUGGCGAACGGGUGAGUAAUACAUCGGAACAUGUCCUGUAGUGGGGGAUAGCCCGGCGAAAGCCGGAUUAAUACCGCAUACGAUCUACGGAUGAAAGCGGGGGACCUUCGGGCCUCGGCCUUUGGGUUUGGCCGAUGGCUGAUUACCUAGUUGGUGGGGUAAAGGCCUACAAAGGCGACGACCAGUAGCGGGUCUGAGAGGACGACAAGCCACACUGGGACUGAGACACGGCCCAGACUCCUACGGGAGGCAGCAGUGGGGAAUUUUGGACAAUGGGCGAAAGCCUGAUCCAGCAAUGCCGCGUGUGUGAAGAAGGCCUUCGGGUUGUAAAGCACUUUUGUCCGGAAAGAAAUCCUUGGCCCUAAUACGGUCGGGGGAUGACGGUACCGGAAGAAUAAGCACCGGCUAACUACGUG